CGUUCUUGUUGCUGGAACCUCUUACAAGAGAACCUUCUCGCCUCUUCUCCCGAUCGCCGCAUUGUGGAUGUGUGAGUGGCUGCACUAUCUCAGGUGUGUGUCUGCGCCUUCAUUUGGCCCCAGCGCCGAAGCAGCUCCCUCCUGUUGGGUACGCUUUUGGAAGGCCACAGCACUUGAUCACCUCACCACGCCGGCAGCACAAUAACAGCAUUGAAAAACAGAAAGUGUGAAAGCUGCUGGAAAUACAAUAUUCCGGGGAGCGAUGGUGGGUCUGCAAAUCACACUCCUGAGUGCUGAUAACAAGGCCAUGGAUCAUCUCAGCUGUUUUCCUCAACUGUUCUAAUUCUUCCACCAGGAUUUUAUGGUCAUCAAAGCAGUAAAACCAAAUUUCUGUCAGUAAAGCUGAAUCUCAGCUAGUUCACUCAUAAGGAAAAAUGAAGCUGAGUUAAUGUGGUGAUACAAAACCCCUU